UUAGAUUGUGAAUCUAAUAAUAGAAGCUUAAAUCUUCUUAUACACC
rnacentral:tRNA from 1 species